GGAUGACACAGUUGCUUAUCCAACUCGAGCAAUCUUUGCUUUCCCAAUUCCUUCGUAUGCUUGGCUGGCUCAUUUGGCUUCUUGAUUUUGUAGUGUUGACCUUUCGCUGUAUGAGAAUGUUUUGUUUUUGUGCUCAAUUGUCUGCUUGUAGGAUGUCUCAAGGUUUGAUCUCCCGCACGUAUAGCCGUUGCCUUUGCAAUUUCCAUCAUCCGCCAAGCCUUCUCAAUAUCACAAGAGCUUCUGU
rnacentral:misc_RNA from 1 species